GAUGAACGCUAGCGACAGGCUUAACACAUGCAAGUCGAGGGGCAGCACGGUGUAGCAAUACAUUGGUGGCGACCGGCGCACGGGUGGGUAACGCGUAUGCAACCUACCUAUCAGAGGGGAAUAACCCGGCGAAAGUCGGACUAAUACCGCAUAAAGCAGGGGUUCCACAUGGAAAUAUUUGUUAAAGAUUUAUCGCUGAUAGAUGGGCAUGCGUUCCAUUAGAUAGUUGGUGAGAUAACGGCUCACCAAGUCCACGAUGGAUAGGGGUUCUGAGAGGAAGGUCCCCCACACUGGUACUGAGACACGGACCAGACUCCUACGGGAGGCAGCAGUGAGGAAUAUUGGUCAAUGGGCGAGAGCCUGAACCAGCCAAGUCGCGUGAAGGAUGAAGGAUCUAUGGUUUGUAAACUUCUUUUAUAUGGGAAUAAAGUGAGGAACGUGUUCCUUUUUGUAUGUACCAUAUGAAUAAGCAUCGGCUAACUCCGUGCCAGCCGCCGCAGUAA
rnacentral:rRNA from 1 species